CCUACGGGCGGCAGCAGUAGGGAAUAUUGCUCAAUGGGGGAAACCCUGAAGCAGCAACGCCGCGUGGAGGAUGAAGGUUUUCGGAGUGUAAACCCCUUUUUUUAGAGAAGUUAAUGACGGUAUCUAACGAAUAAGCACCGGCUAAUUCCGUGCCAGCAGCCGCGGUAAUACGGAGGGUGCAAGCGUUACACGGAAUUACUGGGCGUAAAGGGGGCGUAGGGGGGAUAGCAAGUCAGAUGUGAAAUCCUAUGGCUUAACCGUAGAACUGCAUUUGAAACUGUUAUUCUAGAGUAUGGGAGAGGUAGGUGGAAUUCUUGGUGUAGGGGUAAAAUCCGUAGAGAUCAAGAGGAAUACUCAUUGCGAAGGCGACCUGCUAGAACAUAACUGACGCUGAUGCGCGAAAGCGUGGGGAGCAAACAGGAUUAGAUACCCUAGUAGUC
rnacentral:rRNA from 1 species